rnacentral:rRNA from 1 species
GGAGCUUUCUUAGAAGCAACUGAAAAUUUGGGAUUUGGUUCCAUAGCCUCAGGACAUUAUCCACAUGUAGUCCAUCCACCCUUUGAGAAUGCUGAAGGGCCAUCGGUGCUCCAACUUUCGAAGGACGAGAUCAAGGAUCAAACUUAUUUCCUCUCACAUCUCUCUCAGCCCCAGCUUAGAUGGCUUCUUUUUCCACUGGGGUGUAUAACAAAGGAUGAAGUUCGCAGUCUGGCUGUUCAGAUGAACCUUCCUAACCAAGCUAGAAAGGAUUCCCAGGGGAUAUGUUUUCAUGGAAAGGUCAAAUUUAGAGAAUUUGUUCAAAGACAUAUAGGAGAAAUGGAGGGUAUACUUCUUGAGGCUGAAACUGGAGAUUACCUAGGGACACACCGUGGGUUUUGGUUCUAUACGAUUGGUCAGCGACAAGGUUUGCGACUUUCUGGAGGACCUUGGUAUGUUGUGGAGAAAGAUGUGCAAAAUAAUGUGGUUUUUGUAUCAAGGAAUUACUAUUCACUGGAUAAGAGGAGGCGGACAUUUCGUGUUGGAUCACUAAACUGGUUUAGUGAUUCUGGGCCAUCAGACAAUGAACGCCUUAAAUGCAAGGUACGGCAUAGUCCUGAUUUCCAUGAUUGCACCGUGGCAAAAGAGCAAACCGAAGAGAACGGAGACGUUUUGGCGGUUCUGUCCAAAGUCGACCAGGGUUUAGCAGUUAGCCAGUUUGUAGCGUUCUAUCGUGACAGUGCGUGCCUGGCAUCAGGCAUAAUCCUGGAUUCCUAUGGCGAAAUGAGCUUCCCUGUGUGUGCAAAGGCGCUGGAAACCGCUAGGAUGGAGGAUAAGUCCAAGCUGGGGAAGCCCAUAAGGAUCAUGAACUUGGAGCAUCUGGCGAAGCCAGAUCCGGAGCCGGCCAAGGUCGCUUGA